AUUGAACGCUGGCGGCAGGCCUAACACAUGCAAGUCGAGCGGCAGCGGAAAGUAGCUUGCUACUUUGCCGGCGAGCGGCGGACGGGUGAGUAAUGUCUGGGAAACUGCCUGAUGGAGGGGGAUAACUACUGGAAACGGUAGCUAAUACCGCAUAACGUCGCAAGACCAAAGAGGGGGACCUUCGGGCCUCUUGCCAUCAUAUGUGCCCAGAUGGGAUUAGCUAGUAGGUGGGGUAACGGCUCACCUAGGCGACGAUCCCUAGCUGGUCUGAGAGGAUGACCAGCCACACUGGAACUGAGACACGGUCCAGACUCCUACGGGAGGCAGCAGUGGGGAAUAUUGCACAAAGGGCGCAAGCCUGAUGCAGCCAUGCCGCGUGUAUGAAGAAGGCCUUCGGGUUGUAAAGUACUUUCAGCGGGGAGGAAGGUGUUGAGGUUAAUAACCUCAGCAAUUGACGUUACCCGCAGAAGAAGCACCGGCUAACUCCGUG
rnacentral:rRNA from 1 species